rnacentral:tRNA from 1 species
GGGGAUUUAGCUCAGCGGCAUAAGCACCUGCCUUGCAAGCAGGUGGUCGUGAGUUCAAUACCUG